GAUGAACGCUGGCGGCGUGCCUAAUACAUGCAAGUCGAGCGAACCACUUCGGUGGUGAGCGGCGAACGGGUGAGUAACACGUAGGUUAUCUGCCCAUCAGACGGGGACAACGAUUGGAAACGAUCGCUAAUACCGGAUAGGACGAAAGUUUAAAGGUGCUUCUGGCACCGCUGAUGGAUGAGCCUGCGGCGCAUUAGCUAGUUGGUAGGGUAAAGGCCUACCAAGGCGACGAUGCGUAGCCGACCUGAGAGGGUGAACGGCCACACUGGGACUGAGACACGGCCCAGACUCCUACGGGAGGCAGCAGUAGGGAAUCUUCGGCAAUGGGCGAAAGCCUGACCGAGCAACGCCGCGUGAAUGAUGAAGGCCUUCGGGUUGUAAAAUUCUGUUAUAAGGGAAGAACGACUUUAGUAGGAAAUGGCUAAAGUGUGACGGUACCUUAUGAGAAAGCCACGGCUAACUACGUGCCAGCCGCCGCCGUAAAAC
rnacentral:rRNA from 1 species